rnacentral:lncRNA from 1 species
UGGAUAAAACAUAUCUCCAACUUAAGAGAUAUGAAUGGAUAAGAAACGUGAAUCACAACUCAUUCCUAAAGGCAUAUGAUGAGGAUUCAACGUAAAGGUUGUAUGUUACAACCGAAAGUCAUAUGAGCAAUGCCCAAGACCUUCAACAAUUUAAAUUAUUGUGAGAUUCUGCAAUAUUAAGGGAAUACAGUGUAAUCUUUCUCAAGAGAAUCGACUCAGGUAUGUUAAGGCUAUCCCUUCUUUCUUUUUGGCAUGAUCCAAAUGAUACAAAAGAAACGAGCAAACGCACAGCUUUUAUAAACGACUCUAUUCAUAGAAAUACUUGGGAUCCCUAUGCUCUUGAUACCCCAUGUGACAUAUUAUUAUAGCUUCUGUUCAUGGGUCUCAGAAUAAUACGCAGUUGAUAAAGUUUAUCCGAAAAGAAUAUUGAGAUAUUAACAUAUUUUCAUGAAUUUCAUGCAUUUAUACAUGUGCAUCAACCCAUGACCAGAUGGUGUUAUAUACACGUAUUUAUAUGUAUAUACACAAGUUGACGGUCUUGCUUCUUAGAAUCCUUGAUCAGCGAGAGUUGACGUGCUCCAUUUGAUCUAGAGUUGCUUUUGAUUUAUGUAUGAUAUGCUUGUAUACAUGUAUGGGUAUGACGUGGCCCAAUCCCAUCCUUGUACAAUUAUAUAUUCUAUUAGAGAUCUGUAGACAGUAUGUAUAGUUGGAUAGUAUGUGGCCUUGCCGGCUUUCAGUUUUUGAUAUAUAGUAGUCUAAAGUAGCAUUGACGGUUCGCCCCACAUGUUUAUAUAUAUAUGUCUUUUGGACAGGUUUUCCUCACAUAAACUAAUCAUGUUUAUACCUAAUACUUAAGGGCAUUCGACAGAUAGGACUCGGACAUCCGUCGCGGCCCAUCGGUUUGGCUCCUGACAUUUAUGGAUAAUAUGCAAUAUCAGUAAGCAGUUAUAUUUUGGUGUCCUUUUUUCUUCGAGUGCACAUGCAAUUUGUCAGAUUGAAAGAACAUUUCAAUAAGGUGUAUAGAUCUCGCAUGUAUCGCCUACACAGGGACAUAUUCACCCUAACACAAGGUAUUUCCCAUGUUUCUGCGUAUUUUCACAUCUGAAAAGUUCUCUGGGAUUAGUAUGAUGCUCUAAUGCCUCUUCCAUAUGAUUGUAAAAGGUCAAAGGAAUUCCUUGUGCAUCUUCGUUAUGAACGGUUGUAUCAAUUUCUCAUGAGCUUAAAUGAAGGUUAAAGUCAGGCUCACAGUCAAAUUCUCUUAAAAACACAUCUAUCUAAUGUGAUCAAGUAUAUGAUAUGAUUCUUCAAGACGAAAGUUAGAAAAUAGAAAAUGGUGGCCGAAGGUCAGUUUCAGAACAAUUGUGUAGAUCUCACUAACCUGUUUAUUGCUAAAGCGGGAUCCAAGUUCAAACCUAAGAGAAAUUAUAAUGCAUAGUGUGAUUAUUGUCAUAUAAGAGGAGGGCGAAUGUUACAAGCUGAUGAAAUGUAACUUUUGUAAGUUGACUGGGCAUCUGAAAAAGAAUUGCUAAAAAAUAAUAAGUUACCUGACAACAUUCAAAUCCAAGAGGAAGGCAAAUGCGGUACAAGAAAAUAAUCAACAGACAAAAGGAAAUUCUUCUGUUGUACCAGUCCUUACCCAGAAAUAGUUCAAUAUGUUUGUCUUUAUGAUGAAUAAAGUCUCCACUUCCGAGCCCAGGCAUAUAUGGUAGGUAAUACUACAUGCAUUAAGGAUGAUAAUCUUAGUUGGAUAGUGGAUAUUAGGACUACUAAUGAUAUGAUAAGUAAUCUCAAUUUCUUGAUUAAUGAUGUUAAAGUAGGAACCACAGUGAGUGUUCAGUUGCCAAUAGGGGAUUCUACGCAUGUGACAGAUGUUGGAGACUGUAUAUUAAUAGGAGGUAAUGUGAUCAAUGAUGUGUUAUGUGUGUCAGCUUCAGAUUCAACCUUUUGUCUGUAUCUAAAAUGACAAAAUCUAUGAAUUGUUAUGCUAUUUUUUUUUCGACUUCUUUAUUUUUCAAGACCUUUGCACUGGGAAAGUGAAGCUGACUGGUAAAGAAAAGGAAGGUCUAUAUGUUUUGGAAUCAAAGAGCAUAAGGGGAGCAGUUAAGCAUCGUAGAUCAAUGGAUGUGGAAAGGAUGAUCGAGCAAAAAAUUGGCAUAAAAAAUUAGCAGAUAUUCCUAUGGCGAUAUUGAGAAAACUUUCUAUUUUUUCUAAUAAGAGUGGUUUUUUCUUUGUAUGACUGUGAUGUUUAUCCUCUAGUAAGACAAACUCAAAUUUCUUUUACACUUAGUACUAGUAAAGUGGAAGAGAUCUUCGAUUUGGUACAUAUGGAUUUAUGGGGGUCCUAUAGACUUGCUUUUUUUUGCUAAAAGAAAGGGGAAACUAUUAUAUUAAAAACAUAGGAAAUUUAGUUAUUACAUAACGUAGGGAUAGACCGUAUUAUGGUUUUCCCUGAUUUAUCUUUAAUAAAAACUGGUAAAAUAAAAGUCAGAGGUACUUUCCAGUACAUAGUGUUGUCUUCCUCCAUUGAUAUAUGUUGUCUCGUGCUUCCAUACUUUACCAAAGCAUCUGCUACAGUGUUGCUUUCCCGGUAUACAUGUAUUAUUUCUGCCACUCCAAUAGCAUCAAGAAGAAAAAUGUUGUCAUGAAGAAGAUGUGAGUAGCGAUAUUGUUCGUCAUUAAAUAAGUUACAUAAUACCUGUGAAUUUAUUUUCACUAUAGUGGGAAAGAGACUUUUUGUGAAGGAGAGUUCUAGUCCAGCCAUAACUGGUAGUAGUUCAGAAUGGAGAGAGGAUGUUGCAACUGCCUUAUGCGCGAAUCCCAUUAUCCAAUUGCCAUUAUGGUCUCUGCUAAUUUCACCAAUGCCACUAGUUUGAUUGUUUUUAUCAUAGAUCAAUGUUUAGCUUCUAAUAGUUAGUAAGUGGGUACCAUCUUAUUGGUAUGUAAAGCUUAAGAUUUGGGUUUGCAGUAAGCUAUGGUAUUGAACUGAACUCAGCAACUUGGGUCUUAAUUUUGGUGUGGAAAGCAAUUGAAGUUGUGUGGUUAAAGAGGUUGGAAUUCCUAUUAAGCCAAGUGUUCCACAUGAUGAAAGGUAUUAAAGUGGCGUUUGGAGUUUCAAUUGAGGCAUUUGCUGUGUUCAUGGUAGUGUCUUUGAGACACGUAUCCUUUAUCCAAUGGACAAAGUUGAGGAACUUGUGGUUUUUGAAGAUUGAACAAAGUCCAUAAGUGAUAUGAAUUUUUGCAUGAGAAUACGAUGCGGAAUAUGUCUUCUACUUCGGUUGGACAGGAUUGGAAAAGGUUAGUUUGUAGUAUAUUUUUUUUUUUGAACAUGAAGUCUUUAGGAGGUAACUUGUGGUGCACAAAUAACCACAUAAAAUAUUUUAAAUUGUUCAAACACUUUAAUUGCUAGAUCCAUGAGGUUGUGACAGUGUUUGGUGGUUUUAUUAGGUUGUUGAUUUCUAGUUGUAGUAGGUAGGCUGACUUUAUGGUAAAGUUGUCAAGGGGUGUUUGGUUCCAGAAGGAUUGACCAUUUUUUUGUGAGAAAUAGAAGUAGAUAUUGUUGAUUUUGUGUACAGUAUCAGGGUGUAGUGUUAGAGAUAAUAUGUCAAAGUACCAUGAAUAAUUUGUAAGGAUUAAAGACAUUGUUUGUUAUUCCUUCAUAUAUUGUAGAGUCCCCUAUCUUGAAUGUCAUAAACAGGUAUUAUUAGGGAUCUAGUUGGCAUGUUAGCGAUUUAUUUUUUUCCUAUUUCCUAUGUUCCUGAAAAGCCAUGAGCGGAAUAGAGGAUUUGCUUUGGUCAUGCUUUUCCAAAUGUAUGAAUCAGCAUGUCUUUCCUCGAGUGUGUCUACUCAUCUAUGUUGGACAUAUUUUGCUUGUCGAAUUUUUACCCAUAGUGAUUAAUUGUUCUUGUGGAAUCGACAUAGUAGUCCUACUAGUAUUGCAAAAUUCUUUUCACUGGUUUUAUAAAUCCCUAGUCCUCCGAGCACUUUUGGAGUGAUUAUAGUCUCCUAGUUAAUAAGGUAGACUUUUUUUGAGCUGGAGUUGAACACCAUAGGAAGUUUCACUGUAUACGGUCUAUGUGGUUCCUAGUAGAGGUUGGCAAUAGGUUAUUUUACAUUGAAUAGUUUGGUAUGGUUUCUAGUACUAAGUGGAUGAGGAUGGUUCUAUCUGCUGCCAUGCUGAGAGUUUUUACUUUCCAUCCUAAAAACUUGCUAUUCAUUCUGUCAAUUAUGAAUUGAUAGUGUUUACCUUUGGCGGAGUUGUUAGUUAGAUGGAAACCCAGGUAUUUACUAAAGUUGGUAGCUUUGUGGAUGUUUAAGGCACUGGUAAGGAACUCUUGAGUGUUGAGUGGUACGUUUUUGGAGAAAAAAAAAUUUGAUUUAGAGAAAUUAAUUUUUUGCCCUGAUUGGUGGUGGAGGGAGUUGAAUACAUCAAUAAUAGUGUUGGCAUUUUAUAACUCAGCACGAGCGAAUAGUAUUAGGUCGUCCGAAAAAACCCGGUAGGAGACCGGUGGCCCCGACCUACUAAUCUCAACUGGUAUCCCGUCACUAUUUAUUGUGGCUUGAUCAAUUUGGUGGGAUAGGGAUUGCAUACAAAUGAUGAAGAUGUUUGGGGAUAGCGGGUCUUCUUGACGAAUGCCUCGAGAUGUUUCAAAGAAUUUAGUAGGUGUUUACCUUGAAAAUGGUAAUUACAAUUAAAUUUGAUUAUGUGGUUCUAAAAAUACGUGAUCUAUUUUUAUGCUAGUUGAUUAGGAAAUAAAUGCUAAGUAAGAGAUUAGGAAACGAGAUAAGAGCUUGUAGAUAUUAUAAUGGCCAAACCAGAAGGCUGAAAAUCGGGGCCUCGAGUUGGCGUAUACGGGCCUCGAGGUCGAGUUGGAUGCUCGGCUAGGAGCAAUCGAGGGGGGAUUAACAGUUAUGAUAGCUUUGAUGGAAGCCUUUUAUGAUCAAUAAGGAGCAAUAAAUGAAGAACAAUAAAUAGAACACAAUGAAUAUAAGCAAUAAAUGCAAGUAAUGAGAUCAAGAGAAUAUGUUAGAGAGCAGAGAGAAUGUUCUUGUGUAUUCAAUGUUGAGCAUCAGGUAUUGGGUCGGUAUAACCUCUAGUAUAGGCUGGUGGUAGUGGCUCUUACGCUUUGGAUCGGUACGACCUUUUAUAUGGGCUUACGGCAGGGGCUCUUAUGCAUUGGGUUGGUAUGACCUGUAAUAUAGGCUUUAUUUUUCCCUCGUUAAGGACUUUUGAAGUUGUGUUUGCCUGACUCUUCGACGGUUUGAUAAAAACCUUGAUUGUGAGUCGUUAUAUGGCGAUAAUCGAGCACCUCAGGAGGUUUGGCUCGCUGGCUGAGUAUCUCGAAGCCUAUAGUUUGGAGUUGACAUGGUCAAAGCUCUUUUUCCUAUGUCGAGGGUAGCCUGUUUAAUCGGUUCUUUUCGAAAUAUUUUCAAAGUAAUUGAAGGCGUGUGAUUUUAUAGCAAUGGUCGGGCGUCCCCGAGUCAUGUUAGUUAUGCUGGUACAGCCUUGUGACCAUAGUCAUUAUGUUUGGAAAGGGCCUUUCCAGUUCCCGAGUAAAGUAGUUUCGGCGUCUAUAUCAAGGGUAUGUCUUUUUAGGGUCUAACAACUUCGAUAUAUAGUCUUAACUUUAAGAUCGGGUUUAUGCCUUUUUUAAGGUCUUACAAAUUUUUACAUGUCUUACUUGAGGCCUUACAGAUAUUGUUACUUGGUACAAGUAUGGUUCAUGCCUUGCUUGACGUCUUACAGAUAUUGUCACUUGGUAUAAGUGUGGUUCAUGCCUUUCUUGAGUUCUUACAAAUAUUGUUGUCGCCUUAUAUAGGUCUUACGAGACCGAGGCAGCCCGCAUGUGUUCUUAUGGCCUCGGGUUUUGAUAAGUCAAUGGAGGUGGUGAUUGGCAGCAGUCCUCUAGCCAUCGAAAGUUUCUUGGAUCGAGAGCCAUUACUUGUAAACUUGGUAUUGCCUCAUUGAUUACGAUUUCGGAGUUUCCGACCCAGAGGUCAUGUGGCCUUGAGUUUCUGUAAGGCCCCGUGAAUUUCCUACUCAAAACCCUGAAUUCCGUGGUGCCAAGAAAUAAUAUUUUCCAGAAAAUGCGAUUAUGCGGUAGAGAAUGCGGUCGCAUAUCAGGUAUGCGGACCACAUAAUCGCCGCAAAGCGAAUCAGUGUGUUGGUCAAAUUUGAGGUUAAAUAUGUUGUCCAUUAUUCGAUCGCAUAACCGAUAUGCGAACCGCAUAGUCGUCGCAUAAUUUCCUUGGGAUUUUUGUAAAGAGCAGUUCAGCGGUGCAUUAUGCGACCGGAGAACGGGUAUGCGGACCGCAUUUCUGCUGCAUACCCAAACAGAAUGUUCAGAUUUUGGGAGCACUUUUGCGGUCCAUUCUACGGGCCGCAUUUCCACUUUGCGAUCGCAGACUUGACUCGGGGCUCCAAUUUUCUAAGUUUUAAACCCGACCCCUUAUCGAUAUAUUCGGUGUUAUAGCUCAUUUUGAGCAUAUUUCCUGAUGCUUUUAGAGAGAGAGAGAGAGGGUCCUAGAGAGGGAAGUGCUUCCCAUCAAAUUACUCCAUGAAACCUUUCCAAAGCUUUGAAGAUAAUCAAGUGAGGGCACCUAAAUCUUCAUCCCAAGAGGUAAGACUUCAUUACCUUAGCUCUUAUUCCUAUGCUUAGCAAUAAGGGAUCACUAGUGAAGUAAUUCAUGGGUAUAAGAAUGAAUUUCUUGUAUGCAUAUCACACCAUAGAAUAUUGGGAGGUAGUGAACUACAAAAAAAAAGCAAUUGGUGUGUAAAAUGAUAGAAAUUUCUCUCAAAAGGCCUUAGAUCACAAUGCACCUUUAGUAUUUGAUAGUAUGCUCAAAACAAGCUAGAAUCUCAACUCGUCUCUAAUUCUCAGUUUAACUUGUAAUUCUUACACAAUAGAUCGAAGUGCUAAAAGUUUCAGAAUUUUGUAAGGAAUAAGGAAAGCUUUAUUGAGGUAUGUAUGGAUAAAACCCCAUCUUUUAGAAAUUGAGCUUCAUCGUUGGUUGUGUGAGUACGGUAAGAUUAAAUUGAAUUGUUGUAUUGAUUGCUACUUCACUUGACUUGGUGUUGCAACCUUAUAUGCGUGGAAACUGUGUCUCAAAUUGAUCAACGUAAUAUUCUUGAUAAUUUGAAAACGUGCAAGGGCUAUGAAUCAUGUAUUGAAAUGCUAAGACCUUAAAUUAAGAUCGGAGCUGCAUAUAUUAUGCCAAACUAUGUGAAACCCUCUAUGUAUAGAGAUGCUUGAAGUAAUCAAAUGAAUUUGGGAAAUAGAGUGUGGCCAAUGUGCCCAGAACUUGAAUUAUAAUUAUACCUGGUGAUGCCUAUUACAUGAGAAAAUAUGAAACCGAUUAUGAAAUGAGUCUCGACUUUGCUUUCCAUAAAUGACUUCAAUAAUAAAGUGCCCUAAAGGCUUUAUACACAAUUUAUGCCAUAAGUGGCUGUUCAAGAUAAUGUCUUGCCUUAUGAGUACAUCCAAUGUGAUCCAAGUUGUUACAUACUUCGAUGUUGAAAUUGUAUAUUGUCAUGAUUGGAAAAGAGUAAUUCAAGAAUACUUGAUGAAAUUGCUUGCUUAUGCCUUUGAUGUGUGUUUUUAUUGUGGUUUGGUGUAUCCCCUCUUUUUUGGAAGAAUCUGUUGUGUUUAAAGUUCCAUUGUUAAUAAACUUGAGGUGUAUGAUUUCUGAAAUAUUAUAUAUGCCCAUGGUUCAUGAUUCCUCUCAUGUGUACUUGACAUCUUGAAUUGAAUGGCUUGUUGUUGAAAUUGAUAUUGAUGUGAAAUAUGUGGAAAUGAUGUGAAAUGUGGGAAAUAAGAGAUUGAGUUAUGAAAUGUGGCCUAGUGCCAAGAAUGAUUUGAUAAGUCGUGGCCCCAAGUGCCUAUGAAAUGAUAUAUGAGAAAUGAAUUGAUUUAUGAGAAAGGAACAAUGCCUUGAUGAGUCGACCUAGCCGAUCAGGUCGAGAUCGGACUCCGCUCAAGAUAGCGAUAGUAUUGGAAAGGUAUUGUGAAUGAAUUCUGGAAAAGAAGGAAAAUGAGAUUGUGAUUGAAUCAUAUGUCUCAAAUGAGGCGACCUAGCCGAAUGGGUCAAGAUCGGACUCCGCUCAAGAUAGCGGUUGUAUUAGAAACAUAUGAUGAAUAGUAUGGAAUGCCCCAAACUAAAAAGUUAUGGAAAAAUGAUGUGGAAGUUGUAUGAUUCUUUUAUUUGAUGAUGUGGUGAUUGUUAAAGCUUUUGAUUGACCUUUACUAUUUCUUUAUUCUUGUUUGAUAGUUCUUUCUAAUGAGAAGGUGUUUAUGAUGUCUUUGUUCUUGUAUGAUAGUUCUUUCUAACUAGAUGGUGUUUAGUUAUACAUACUAGUGCUAUUCGAUGGUACUAAUGUCCUUUUGUCGGGGGCUCUACGUCUUUAAUGGAUGUAGGUGUUUCUAUAGUAGGCAGUGUUGGUCGCAGCUAGUGCCGCAUCAUCCUUUCAGCUGACUUGGUGAGCCCAACCUCGUUUAGGGGUCCUGUUUCAUCUAUUCGUCAUGUCCUUUGUAUUUGAGGCAUAGCCGGAGCCUUGUUACCGGCAUUUUCAUAUUAUAUUACUCUUCAGUUGUGUUUAGAGGCUCCAUAGAUAGGUUGUGGGUAGUGUCGGGUAUUGGAAUUAAAGUAGAAAUAUUGAUGUUGGCAAAGACUUAUAAAACUUGUAAUAUUUUGAUAAUUUUGAUUUAAACUGCUAAUGGAAAUGAAAUGAUAGUUGUUAAUGAAA